UGUCCAGACUCCUACGGGAGGCAGCAGUGGGGAAUAUUGCACAAUGGGGGAAACCCUGAUGCAGCAACGCCGCGUGAGUGAAGAAGUCAUUCGUGAUGUAAAGCUCUAUCAGCAGGGAAGAAAAUGACGGUACCUGAGUAAGAAGCCCCGGCUAACUACGUGCCAGCAGCCGCGGUAAUACGUAGGGGGCAAGCGUUAUCCGGAUUUACUGGGUGUAAAGGGAGCGUAGACGGUUCUGCAAGCCAGAUGUGAAAGACCGGGGCGCAACCCCGGGACUGCAUUUGGAACUGUAAGGCUAGAGUGUCGGAGAGGCAGGCGGAAUUCCUAGUGUAGCGGUGAAAUGCAUAGAUAUCACGCAGAGCUCCGAUUGCGA
rnacentral:rRNA from 1 species